GAUGAACGCUGGCGGCGUGCUUAACACAUGCAAGUCGAACGGAAAGGCCCAAGCUUGCUUGGGUACUCGAGUGGCGAACGGGUGAGUAACACGUGGGUGAUCUGCCCUGCACUUCGGGAUAAGCCUGGGAAACUGGGUCUAAUACCGGAUAGGACCACAUUUUGGAUGGUGUGGUGGAAAGGUUUUCGGUGUGGGAUGAGCUCGCGGCCUAUCAGCUUGUUGGUGGGGUAAUGGCCUACCAAGGCGUCGACGGGUAGCCGGCCUGAGAGGGUGUACGGCCACAGUGGGACUGAGAUACGGCCCAGACUCCUACGGGAGGCAGCAGUGGGGAAUAUUGCACAAUGGGCGCAAGCCUGAUGCAGCGACGCCGCGUGGGGGAUGACGGCCUUCGGGUUGUAAACUCCUUUCGCUAGGGACGAAGCGUUUUUGUGACGGUACCUGGAGAAGAAGCACCGGCUAACUACGUG
rnacentral:rRNA from 1 species